CUGACAUUCGCUCAGUUGGUAGAGUGGUGGACUGUAGUUGGACUAAUCUAAAUUGGAAAUCCUUAGGUCGCUGGUUUGAUUCCGGCAGGUUGGA
rnacentral:tRNA from 1 species